rnacentral:rRNA from 1 species
AGAGUUUGAUCCUGGCUCAGGACGAACGCUGGCGGCGUGCUUAACACAUGCAAGUCGAACGAGGUUUCAGGAUAGCUUGCUAUCCGAAAAACCUAGUGGCGCACGGGUGAGUAACACGUGGGCAAUCUGCCCGGAAGUCUGGGAUAACAGCUCGAAAGGGCUGCUAAUACCGGAUACCUUCACGAAGACACAUGUUUUUGUGAAGAAAGUUUUUCGCUUCCGGAUGAGCCCGCGUCCCAUUAGCUAGUUGGUGAGGUAACGGCCCACCAAGGCAACGAUGGGUAGCUGGUCUGAGAGGACGAUCAGCCACACUGGAACUGAGACACGGUCCAGACUCCUACGGGAGGCAGCAGUGGGGAAUCUUGCGCAAUGGGCGAAAGCCUGACGCAGCAACGCCGCGUGAAUGAUGAAGGCCUUCGGGUCGUAAAAUUCUGUCAGGGGGGAAGAUAAUGACGGUACCCCCGGAGGAAGCCCCGGCUAACUACGUGCCAGCAGCCGCGGUAAUAC